UAGUAACUGCGAGUGAAGCGGGAAAAGCUCAAAUUUAAAAUCUGGCGGUCUUUGGCUGUCCGAGUUGUAAUCUAGAGAAGUGUUAUCCGCGCUGGACCGUGUACAAGUCUCCUGGAAUGGAGCGUCAUAGAGGGUGAGAAUCCCGUCUUUGACACGGACUGCCAGGGCUUUGUGAUGCGCUCUCAAAGAGUCGAGUUGUUUGGGAAUGCAGCUCAAAAUGGGUGGUAAAUUCCAUCUAAAGCUAAAUAUUGGCGAGAGACCGAUAGCGAACAAGUACCGUGAGGGAAAGAUGAAAAGAACUUUGGAAAGAGAGUUAAACAGUACGUGAAAUUGCUGAAAGGGAAACGCUUGAAGUCAGUCGCGUUGGCCGGGGAUCAACCUUGCUUUUGCUGGGCGUACUUUCCGGUUGACGGGUCAGCAUCAAUUUUGACCGUUGGAUAAAGUCUAGGGGAAUGUGGCAUCUUCGGAUGUGUUAUAGCCCUUGGUCGCAUACAACGAUUGGGAUUGAGGAACUCAGCACGCCGCAAGGCCGGGUAUUUUACCACGUUCGUGCUUAGGAUGCUGGCAUAAUGGCUUUAAUCGACCCGUCUUGAAACACGGACCAAGGAGUCUAACAUGCCUGCGAGUGUUUGGGUGGAAAACCCGAGCGCGUAAUGAAAGUGAAAGUUGAGAUCCCUGUCGUGGGGAGCAUCGACGCCCGGACCAGACCUUUUGUGACGGAUCCGCGGUAGAGCAUGUAUGUUGGGACCCGAAAGAUGGUGAACUAUGCCUGAAUAGGGUGAAGCCAGAGGAAACUCUGGUGGAG
rnacentral:rRNA from 1 species